rnacentral:rRNA from 1 species
AUUGAACGCUGGCGGCAGGCCUAACACAUGCAAGUCGAGCGAGCGGCGGACGGGUGAGUAAUACCUGCGUGUUGCCCGGUAGAGGGGGAUGACAGGUGGAAAAGUAUGGUAAUACCGCAUACGAGCGUAUUGCCCAGGGGGGGUUAGCUGGUUGGUGAGGUAAUGGCGCACCAAGGCGACGAUCCCCAGCUGGUCUGAGAGGAUGAUCAGCCACACUGGAACUGAGACACGGUCCAGACUCCGACGGGAGGCAGCAGUGGGGAAUAGUGGACAAUGGGGGAAACCCUGAUGCAGCCAGGCCGCGUGUGUGAAGAAGGCCUUCGGGUUGUAAAGCACUUUCAGCUAGGAGGCGUUACCCGCAGAAGAAGCACCGGCUAACUCCGUGCCAGCAGCCGCGGUAAUAC